CUUGGUCAUUUAGAGGAAGUAAAAGUCGUAACAAGGUCUCCGUUGGUGAACCAGCGGAGGGAUCAUUACUGAGUUUACAACUCCCAAACCCCUGUGAACAUACCACUUGUUGCCUCGGCGGAUCAGCCCGCUCCCGGUAAAACGGGACGGCCCGCCAGAGGACCCCUAAACUCUGUUCCUAUAUGUAACUUCUGAGUAAAACCAUAAAUAAAUCAAAACUUUCAACAACGGAUCUCUUGGUUCUGGCAUCGAUGAAGAACGCAGCAAAAUGCGAUAAGUAAUGUGAAUUGCAGAAUUCAGUGAAUCAUCGAAUCUUUGAACGCACAUUGCGCCCGCCAGUAUUCUGGCGGGCAUGCCUGUUCGAGCGUCAUUUCAACCCUCAAGCACAGCUUGGUGUUGGGACUCGCGUUAAUUCGCGUUCCUCAAAUUGAUUGGCGGUCACGUCGAGCUUCCAUAGCGUAGUAGUAAAACCCUCGUUACUGGUAAUCGUCGCGGCCACGCCGUUAAACCCCAACUUCUGAAUGUUGACCUCGGAUCAGGUAGGAAUACCCGCUGAACUUAAGCAUAUCAAUAAGCGGAGGA
rnacentral:rRNA from 1 species